GGGUAGUGGCCCUGGAAGUAGGCAUCUAAUAAUGAGUGUGUAAAAAC
rnacentral:rRNA from 1 species